rnacentral:rRNA from 1 species
GAUGAACGCUGGCGGCGUGCCUAAUACAUGCAAGUCGAGCGAACAGACGAGGAGCUUGCUCCUCUGACGUUAGCGGCGGACGGGUGAGUAACACGUGGAUAACCUACCUAUAAGACUGGGAUAACUUCGGGAAACCGGAGCUAAUACCGGAUAAUAUAUUGAACCGCAUGGUUCAAUAGUGAAAGACGGUUUUGCUGUCACUUAUAGAUGGAUCCGCGCCGCAUUAGCUAGUUGGUAAGGUAACGGCUUACCAAGGCAACGAUGCGUAGCCGACCUGAGAGGGUGAUCGGCCACACUGGAACUGAGACACGGUCCAGACUCCUACGGGAGGCAGCAGUAGGGAAUCUUCCGCAAUGGGCAAAAUCCUGACGGAGCAACGCCGCGUGAGUGAUGAAGGUCUUCGGAUCGUAAAACUCUGUUAUUAGGGAAGAACAAAUGUGUAAGUAACUAUGCACGUCUUGACGGUACCUAAUCAGAAAGCCACGGCUAACUACGUG